rnacentral:lncRNA from 12 species
UAUGCUCUCAUAAAUCAUUAAUCACAUAUAUAAUACACUAUACUGUAAUACUUAGUAAUUUAUACCUAAUCAUGGCUAUUAUACUGUAAAAAAAAAAUGCUGUAAAAAAAAAAAAAAAACAGUUAAAUUCAGGAAGUAAAAUAUGUUUUUCAUAAUAAACUAUAUAUUCUGGGCAGUGUUUAGUGAUCAGUAUGACCACUAAGUUGCACAUAUAUUUGGUUAAAGAAAAUAAUGCUUUUGUUUAUUUGAAUGAAACCAUGGCCUCUAUGGAUUCAUAAAAUGCAGGCUGGUAGCUACCAUCACUUGAAAGUCAAAAAAAGCAUAUACAUGCAACACAAAAUUACCUGUUGAACAUUAUUUACAACAUUAUUACAUGUAGCCUCGGGCAAACGGUCCUGAGUGAUGUCCGGUUUGAAAACAAAUUAUUCUUUUGAACUGGUUCUUUGUAGUUUAACUGGAUGAACCAGUUCACCAAAUCAGACUAAAGGAUUCUCUAACAGUUUGCGGCUUGAGCUUGAGACUCGAAAUGAGCCAAUAUAGUGCCAGCGUAUUAUGAUUGCAUGAUGAUGGACUUUGCCAUCUCAUUCAGCACUCCAGUUCCUCCAACAUUACACUGAGGGAACAGUUCGGACUCAGACCAAAGAACCGAUGAGCUGCAGAUAUGAGCUAGAGUGAACCAAGCACUUGAAUAAAGUGGUGAAAUGAACGUUUUUAUGGUUCAAGUAAAAAGGUUGCAGCGACCGAUAUCUGUGUGUUUUCCGCUCCAUCCCUCCGGACUGUUUCUCCAUGCCCGUGCCGCAGCUCAGAUGGGGGCAGACUUAAGUGCAGCAGCGGUUGUCUGGCACGUUAACGCGCGCGGCAGGUCUCUCUGGCGGGCCAUCCCGAACACGGGAUGCUGAACGGGAGCCGCGAGGGUUUGUUUGAACUGGGCAGGCAGCUCCAGCAGGAAGGAGACUCACAAGCUGCUCUGCACUGCUUUUUGAGCUGCCUGCUGGGACUCACACAUGUGCAGAGCUUCCACUCGCUUCCCAACUGCCUGCAUCAGAUCGCUGAACUCUACAUUGAUGACAAGAACUAUGGGAAAGCUCUGCAGUUUAUUCAGGCGGAGAAGAUGUUUUACGAAGUGGCAUUGAUCGAGCUCACCUCGCUGCAGGCCAGCACAGGGUCUCAGGAAGACGGACCAUUGGGAACGUCAGGAUGUCUGUCUCAAGAGGAGUUAUCAGAACAGGCUACACAGGCCCAGGAUCUUGAGAGACUGGCUCAGCUCUGCAUCAUGAGCAAAAGACCUCACCUUGCUUUAGAAUACAGUGGCAAGGCCACUAAAAUCCACCAGAGGGCUUUUGGUAACGAUCACCCUAUCACAGCCCGGAGUCUGGAGCUGCUAGCCACUGUCUAUGCAGAGAUCGGCAAAACAGAAUAUACAAAUUCAUUGGGAGAGUGUGUGUCGACUCUUUCCAAAAGGUUCUCAGCCACCGAGUCAUUCAGUGACGCUCUGAGUAGCAUCUCUCAUAGCCAUAAGGACAGACACUCUGAGCUGCGACACAGAAAAGAGCCAUACAUACAACAGGAAACUCCUAAAACAAAGGUCAUAAAUGAAAAACUGCCCACCUCUAUUCUGAAAAGGUCCAACAUGAGUAAUGUGGAGUCAGACUCAUUGCGCAAGCGAAAAACCGAGAGGCGGGUUCGCUUCAGAGAGCCGGAGAUCACUGUUCAUGUCUAUGACACUCCCCAGAGCCGUUUGCACCUGACCCUGCUCACCUGCCUGUUCCUGCUUCUGUCUGCGCUGGGUCUGGCACUGUACUGCACGGACCGCCGAAGACCCCAGCGUGCCUGCGAAGAGCUGCAGACAGCACUGGCUGUGUACCUGCUUCAGUUCAAACAGAUCGUCUGGGCCUGCUGGAUCUGGCUGACCAUGCAAUGACCAUAACUGACCACACGGGGCAGCAACAGUCAGGGAAAAAAAAAACAAAAAAAAACAUAAAAGGUCAGGAUGUUUUUUGAAGGACUGUGGAGGAAAUUGAAGAUAAAGAAUGGUCUUCUUGUUUUUUAUUGCUUUAUUUUCACUGUUAUAAUCAGACUGGCCACCAGUCAAAUUUUCUGAGGAUGUUCAACAUCCACCUCUUUUAUUUUGUGGCUGAUUAAAGGCCAUGUGCUUUACACACCAUUAAGGUAUGGUGUGCCUUUUUGCCCUUUAUGGUGGCAUAGCUAAUGCCACAUCCUCAUUAUACUGAGCCGUGUAUAUUUAGAUCUCUGUAUGUAGCUGUUUUUCCUCGUAUAGCGGUUCUGGAUGAUAUGUUUUAAAGGAAUAGUUCACCAAAAAUGAAAAUUUGCUGAACAUUUACUCAUCCUCAGGCCAUCCGAUAUGUAGAUGAGUUUGUUUCUAUAUCGGAACAGAUUUGUAGAAAUUUAGCAUUACAUCACUUGCUCACCAGUGGAUCCUCUGUAGUAAAUGGGUGCCAUCAGAUUAUCAGACCCAAAAUCAGUCUGGCUUUACAGAUUGUGCACACUGUAUUCUCUAUGAACCAAUGUAUCACAUUUUAAUGUCCAAAACUACUUCAUUUAUUCAAUGCUUUUAUUUUUAAUGCACUUGCUGUACAUAAUGUGGUUGAAUGUAUCUGUGGAAUGCAAGACAAUGCUAUUUAUUUAACUAAUAAUCAAAUAGGUUUAGAAUACAAAUAUGCGUUUUAUGCAUUAAUCAAACAUGUAAAUGACACUAAUUAUUGUAUAGAAUGUAUUUCAAUGUAAAUGAGAAAAGAGAACUGGCACAAUUGACGACACCUUUAGCAUUUAUCUACUUUACAAGAAACGAAGGGCAAAGCUGUUCUGUUAAGCACAAACAUUUCCAUCUGCCAUUAAUUCUCUCAGAAAGAGAUAUAAGACUGUUGAAGGAUGAAUUGGCCAUAUAUUGUGUCAUGCACUGCUAGAUUCAACUGGCAAAUGAAAGAAUGCCAUUUUAAAUAGCUGAACGCUUUAUGAUACUCGCACUAUUUAAGUUUCUAUUUUACAUAAACCUGUACCAGCAUCUUGGCUUAAGCCUAAUAAUGGUGCAUUCGUUUGUUUUACUAUGUUUUAUAAGAAUUUUCUUUUUCUAUCUUUUUUUACUGUUCCACUCAAGUUUUACAUGUUUAGUCUCUUAAUCUUUCUUUAUAGAAACAGCUGUUCAGUAUCUAUUUUUCUAGUUUUUGGGCAAGCAUUUUCUAUCACAUUCUAUGAGCCUUUGGUUUCUAGUGUCAAAAUUGCUUAUUUUCCAUUAGCACACAAGUUAACAAUGAAUUGAAUUAAAGACAGUACACCCAAAAUUGAAAACUCUGUCAUCCUAAAGAGAUAUUAUAUACACACACACAAACACACACAACAGUUCAAAAGUUUGGGGUCAGUAAGAUUUUUUUUCUGAAAGAAAUUAAUAUUUUUAUUCAACACAGAUGCAUCAAAUUGAUCAAAUGGGACAGUAAAGAUAUUUAUAAUGUUACAGCAGACUUCUAUUUUAAAUUAAUGCUGUUCUUUUGAACUUUAUUCAAUAUCCAGAAGAACAAAAAUUAUAUAUAUAUACUACUUAUAUAUAUAUAUAUAUUAUAUAUAUAUAUAUAUAUAUAUAUAUAUAUAUAUAUAUAUAUAUAUAUAUAUAUAUAUAUAUA